CUCAUAGCUCAGUUGGUUAGAGCAGAGGACUCAUAAUCCUUUGGUCCCAGGUUCGAGUCCUGGUGGGC
rnacentral:tRNA from 1 species